GCUCAUCUUUAGUGCUUCUUGGUUUUGGUUACUAGUGUUGAGAAUGACGUAACUGAUCCAAACACUCCUGAAUCUGAUCUACAAUGGAUCUGAUAACAAGUGCACCGAGUGUAUAUUAUGUUUACAGUAAUGCUUCAUUACUUAACGUUGCAAGUGGUGAGCUAUAAUGUUGCAUUAUUUAAUUUUCAGUGUUGCGACAAAGCAUCCGAUGAAAAUUUUCCAUCGGACGUCCGGACACUAGUAGCUCCGUUAUGUUUAUAAAGGGGAUUUCUGAUCAACUAUCUUCAUUUGUUACUUCUUGAUGCAAAGAAGAUUUGCCAGACUCAGGGUAACUGGGCUUCCAAUGUUGUAACCUGGUACACCAAGAAAUAAUCUGACUGGAUAAAAAAGGAUGAUCAAAGAAGACAAAGGAUUGCGGAUAAUGGUUGAUUAACUUAAUAAGAUCGCUUAGGAGAUGGGGCUUGGUUACCUGGCAGCACAUUAUGCAUUUAGGAUAAUCAAUUUUCCGAUGCAUUCAUUAUGCAUGCAGUAUAGCCAAUUUUCUGAUGCAUUUGGAAAUACGAUCACUGUACUUGAAGCAUUAUAUGAAUAUCCAGUGCACCAUGGAAUGGUACUUCAUAAAAGCAACUACUAAUUUCCAGUCUCAUCCAGCGGAGUUUUCCUUAUUUUUCAUCCUGAUAUUCUACAGUAUUUCUCAUCUGAUAUGAAUUGUAUACUUUUGAAGGUACUGAAUUUGCAUAAGGCAAUAAGGUUGAGUGCAUCCAGUGCCUUCUGUAAACUGGCAAAUGUCCAGAAAGAGAGUUAGAUGAUUUGGGAAGCCCAACUAUGCCUGUGAGGUUUUCAAACUCCAUAGGAAGGGAACCUGGAUAGCUGAUUACUACGUGUGAGCAGAUUUUGGAGAUUUUUCAGAUUCCCAAAAAUUUGUGGUAUUGACCCAAAAAUUUCAUUAUCACAGAAAUCCAAUAUUUGGAGCUUCACAGGAUUGCCAAUUUCCACUGGAAUCGAGUUAUCCUAUUUUCGUGAGGUUCCCUGAGCUGGCAGGAAUUGAAUUUUAAAUUUGGUUUUGAGAUACCUGUCACGAAUCUGGAGAUUUAAUAGGUUGCCUAGUUCUGUCAUUUGAUUUUUGCAAAGAAGAAGCGUGUUUAGAGCAUCUUCAGCAUUGGCCCUCAAAGCAGACCCUCUACUUCUUGAGUAAGGGCUCCCUCUAUUUAUGAGAGCUAGUUUUUAACCUCAACUCCAACAGUGGUCUCUAAAUCGCAUUCUCUUUUUUUAAUCUAAAGAGUGAGACUCAUUUGUCAGUGGAUAGGGAGCUCCCUAGAGACCCUCCAGGGAUAGAGGGUGAAUGAAGAGAUUUGGAGACCUCCCUAAAAUGGGGCCUUGAGCAGAGGAUCUGUUCGAGUGAUUUUUUUUUUAAAUUUCACCAUUCAAAUUUAAGAUGAGUUUAUCUAGAGGAUUGCUCUUAGAAUAUUGCGGUUGCCUAGUUCUAUGGUAUGGAACCUUUUAUUAGGUUUUCAUGUAGACUAAGUUCACUUAAGAUGUUUUUAGUUGUUAAGUCUAACCAGGCUAGGAUUUUAAGCCAGGCUAGUUCGAGCCUGGCUUCACUAUGUAAUGUAUUCGUAUUUGCCUGGCUUCACUAGCACGUCGAGGAUGCCUCGUUCCUCUGCUCUCUCCUGGCCCCUUGUUAUCUUCGUUCGUGACCAUUGACCAAGCACCACGACAGCGUACAGAUGCGUCCAAGCCGGCACUCGUGGGGGUAAACUAGGAGAUUCCUGACCUGAGUGCAAGUAGUAAUUCAAUUCUUCUGCUGCGCCAUGCCAUGAUCCUGGCCGCUGAGGCAUCCUCUAACAGUUGAGCUAGCUACUCUCUCCAUUCAAAAAAAAAA